rnacentral:misc_RNA from 1 species
AAAGUCGUAACAAGGUUUCCGUAGGUGAACCUGCGGAAGGAUCAUUACCUAGAGUUUGUGGGCUUUGCCCGCUACCUCUUACCCAUGUCUUUUGAGUACUUACGUUUCCUCGGCGGGUCCGCCCGCCGAUUGGACCUUAUUCAAACCUUUUUUUUAGUUGCAAUCAGCGUCAGCAAAACAAAUGUAAUCAAUUACAACUUUCAACAACGGAUCUCUUGGUUCUG